AGGAUGAACGCUGGCGGCGUGCCUAACACAUGCAAGUCGAACGCGCUCCAUUCAGUAGCAAUACUGAUGAAGAGUGAGUGGCGAACGGGUGAGUAACACAUGAGCAACCUGCCCCGAAGACUGGGACAACACCGGGAAACCGGUGCUAAUACCGGAUAUCCCUAUCGGACCGCAUGAUCUGAUAAGGAAAUGGAUUCCGCUUGAGGAGGGGGUCGCGGCUGAUUAGCUAGUUGGCGGGGUAAUGGCCCACCAAGGCGAAGAUCGGUAUCCGGCCUGAGAGGGCGCACGGACACACUGGAACUGAAACACGGUCCAGACUCCUACGGGAGGCAGCAGUGGGGAAUUUUGCGCAAUGGGGGAAACCCUGACGCAGCAACGCCGCGUGGAGGAUGAAGCCCCUUGGGGCGUAAACUCCUUUCGACCAAGACGAUAAUGACGGUACUGGUGGAAGAAGCACCGGCUAACUCUGCGCCAGCAGCCGCGGU
rnacentral:rRNA from 1 species